rnacentral:rRNA from 1 species
UACGUAGGGUGCAAGCGUUGUUCGGAAUCAUUGGGCGUAAAGCGCGUGUAGGUGGCUAGUUAAGUUGGAUGUGAAAUCCCUGGGCUCAACCGAGGAAGUGCAUUCAAAACUGGCUGGCUAGAAGAUGGUAGAGGAAGGUGGAAUUCCAAGUGUAGAGGUGAAAUUCGUAGAUAUUUGGAGGAAUACCGGCGGCGAAGGCGGCGUUCUGGGCAAUUCUUGACACUGAGACGCGAAAGCGUGGGGAGCAAACAGG